UACGUAGGGUGCAAGCGUUAAUCGGAAUUACUGGGCGUAAAGCGUGCGCAGGCGGUUAUUCAAGUCAGAUGUGAAAUCCCCGGGCUUAACCUGGGAACUGCAUUUGAGACUGCAUAGCUGGAGUACGGUAGAGGGGGAUGGAAUUCCGCGUGUAGCAGUGAAAUGCGCAGAUAUCAGGAGGAACACCGGUGGCGAAGGCGGGACUCUGGGCCGAUACUGACGCUGAGGAGCGAAAGCGUGGGGAGCAAACAGG
rnacentral:rRNA from 1 species